GCCACAUGACAUUGAAACACCAGUUCCUGUAUGAUCACUGAAGUUAAGCAAAAUCAAACCUGUUCAGUACCUAGUGGGGUGACCAUUUGGAAAUAACAGGUGCUGCAAGC